GUUCAUAAUGCAGUUUUCCGGAAGAAACUUUGUAGUAAUGUAAUGAAGGGCAUAACUGCAUGAGUCGUAUACAGUCAUAAUUCAGUUGAUUUGGGGAAAGGGGGGCGUUCUUAGCCCUUUUUAAUCCCUUGCGCCGUGAGCUACACCGCUGCACCUACCGUAAGAAAAAAUACCUACCUGAGAAAAUACUACCCUAAGGAAAAAUUGAAUUCAUAAACUC